GUGGAACCAGUCUGCGGCAGUCCGAUGGCCCCGGGACAAAACAAAGUUGCCUGACAGCGAUAUUUUCUGCCGUUCAAGUGGGAUCGACAAAAAAAAAAAACCGCAUUAAAAUAUCGCUGUUUCUGUCUAAAUUCACAUGUCCGCAUCUCGGUUUGCAGGCGAAUGAAAGAGUACGCUGAGCUCGCUGUGCAGCUUGCAGCAGAGCAGCGGUGCCACAGCGCCCACUAUUUCAAAAGCUGGGAAUAUUAUUUCACAAGACUUGGAACGGCUCAAUAAAAAAAGUUACUAUCCGUUUCGACAACUUUGUCGGUAACUUUCGGGAAACGAAUCUGCGUUUCUAUUGAACCUCCGACACCCCUUAAAACGAAGUACAAGAUGGAGCUCAGACUUGUACGGAAAUGUUUGUCUCUGUUUCUGAAAGGAGUGUGAUCAACAAAAAGCACCAGCGGCGUUUCUCAUCACACAUGAAACUUUCUGACACUGAGAACCACGGAACAGCAGAGAGCAGAGAACCGAGGCUGAGCAGCCAGAGCAGGACACAUUUUUAGCAGAAAAGUUAACUCUGGACAAAGAGUCGCCCCCUCCUCUCUUAAGGAUAUGACAAAUGACAAGGACUCAUUGGACAUCUACACAACCACGAGUUUGUAGCCGGCGGCUGAAAGCGAUAAGAAGGGGAAAAUAGAAGACCUACUUUUGGCCAGUUUUCUCGCCCUCGCCUUGGAUCUCAUCUUGUCGGCUUGUAGAUUCCUCUCGUCGUCCUCCGUGAGCCCAGAAGCAGCAACAACACUAUCUUCAUCUCACCAGCAUUAUCACUUAUCUCUUCCCCUCCUCCUCUUCCUCCUCCUCCCGCUCUCUCCUCACCAUCUCACCUACCCUCCCUCCCCCCUUGCCAUCCCCUUACCCUCGUCUCCCUCCUCACCCAGACACCCCCCCACCCACCCCAUUCAGCUCCUGCCAGCACCUCCUUGGAUUUUACCCCUUUAACAGCAACAACUUGGAUUUCUCCAACCGGCGCUGGACACAGUGAGUUAUGGACAAGCAGCGACCAGCAGCUGUUUGACGCACGUAGCCCGCACCAGCAGAUCCGGGGGGAAGAAGCCCUGACUUUUUUUUCUCUCCCUCCAAUGUUCACAUUUGUAACAAUGAUAUUUGUAGCGGUUAUUUCCUGGAGAAGUGUUUUUUGUUAGUGCGUGUGCCGGGUAAAGUCACCUGAACGAAGGUGGACAGACUGCACACUUUCUCUUCGUAAGUAUUACUUUGCCUUGCACCUGUUUGUUUGUUUGUUUGUUUGUGUACUGCAGGACCGAGGAAACCGACCUAAACGUUACACCGUUCCUCCAGCAGUCUGAUGAAGCAAGGUUUGGAGUGGCUCUCCACAGCAGGCCUCUCCCUCCUCCCCUCUAAUGAAGUCCCCAGAAGCGGUCAUAGUGAAGUUGCCUUGAUCAGAGGAGCGAGGAGCGAGGAGCGGACAACCCCGCCAAACAAAUGCACAUUAAAAUAUCGCCGGGAGGCUCGAGUGAAAAUUACCCCGAUGUAGAAAUGACCUUAAUAUGAUGUAAUCAAUCACGCUGUCUGCUGGGACACUGGGAAUCACAAUGUUAAUCUUUGGCGGGGGGGAAACAGCCUGUCAUAUUUUACAACUCCACCAAAGAGCACACAGUAUGCAAGUUCAGUGACACAUACGGCUACAAUAUAGGCAUUAUACCAUUAAGGAUGUUAUAUUUAAAUGGAGGUCCACACAUUUUGUGGUGCAGGCUGAGAGGCCUUAGGGCCUGCAGUUCGUUACAGUUUUUCUCUCCAAAUGUGUCACUUGAGUAAUACCACAUUUUUGAAAAAUGUAGAAUGUAGGUAUGCCAUUCAUUUAAAUUUCAAAAAACGAAUAAAGAGACUUUUUUUUUUUUUUUAAACUACAAUUU